ACUCAAUUGACGAGUCCUAAAUAGGACGAAACGCGCGUCCUGAAU
rnacentral:hammerhead_ribozyme from 1 species